rnacentral:lncRNA from 1 species
UUCAAUACUGUAAUAAAACUAAAUACGGUAUAACAAAUACCAAAUCUGAUACAUCUGUCUGAAAAUACUAUAGUCUGAAAAAGCCUCUAAACUAUCUGAAAUAUAGAGUUGAUGGGACAAGUCCCCAACUAACUCCAAAAUACUAAAAUAAGCUGAACAACUGAAAUAAUCAUCAUGUCCUCGAAACUAAGAGGACUUACCACUAACUCUGUCAGCUGAAUAUCUUAACUGCUAAGUAUGAUUGGGAGCCCAAGCGUCUAAACCUAUGAUAUAAAGCAUCAUAGUGCAAAAGAAAGGUAUGUAUCAGUACUUUGAAUGUACUGGUAUGCAAAGUGAGGUAGGCUAAAAUGCAUGGGUUCAUAUGCAUGAACAAUACUGAUUGAAUGACAUGAAUAUAAUUGAAUGAGAGUACAUACAUGAAUACAUAUACUGUAAUCUGAGGUCGUGAUAACACUGGAUACUGAGUUCUGAAUUACUGAUUUACUGAUAUCUGAGUUUACUGAUACUGUGUAGCUGAUAAUUGAGUGACGGUAUCUAACAGUCUUAAUCCUGUGGAACUAUACUGAAUUUCAUACUGAACUGAGUGAUUGUAUCUAACAGUCCUGAAUCUGUAGAACUGAACUGAGUUCUAUUCUGAGACUGGAACUGAAACUGGGACUGUGGAGAUAAUCAUCUAACUGACAUGCCUCUUUCUGAAUAGAUUGGGGUCCAAUCUGUAACCCCAGUUAUAAGGGUGUCAGUACCGUGCCACGGGUAAAGACAAGCUGAGAGUUAACCCUAUCUGAUAGGAAGCUCUUUCAUCAAACCUCGCUGACAGAAAAACUCAUACGAGAUGUAUCAACUCUAAUCUGGCAGGAAGAUAUCUCAACCUACGCUGGCUACGUAGUUCUGUAAUAUAGGGAUUGCUACUAAGGGUCAAACCCUCUGCUGGCAAGAAUGCCCCUAUCCCUGGGUUCGCUCGGUGCUGAAUCCUACUCCCAACUGAAUAGACAUUGAACUGAUCCCUAGUUCAUACUAGGCUUAACUGAACGGUUACUGAUUAUAUUGUCUAACUGAACUGAACUGAGUUCCAUUAACUAACGGAAUACUACUAAAUUUUGUUAACUGAACUGAGGCCUGAACUGAAUACUAAACUGGACUGGACUGAUACUGAGUCUACUAAGUUUUUCCUGAGUUCUGUAACUGACUAGGAGUACUACUGAUCGUGACAUGACUGAUACUAUCCUGAGACUGACCAUGAUUCUAGGUAAUCAACUAAAUUAUUAGGUAUUAAAUACCCCCAGGACUCAAUAACAUAAAUUAUAAGACAUGACAUAAUCUUGAAACAUGAUAAAUAACUACUUACUCAUUAUUCAUUCAUUGGGUUAUUCUAGCAAACACUUGCAUGACAUGAACUUGAAUACAUGUUAACAUGAUAUAAUUUCAUUAUUUAAUUCUCAUGAACAACUCAUCAAACUCUUGGAAGGCAUUAUAUAUGCACAUAGAACUAAUCAAAACAUGAGCAUGACAAUUUCAAGGCUUUAACAUUCACAUGAUACUACAUCAUAAUAGUUGUUUUUACAUAAAUCUUGCACUUAAUCAUGUAAUAGAAAUCCAAUCAACAUUAUAAUCAUGAUACACUUGAAUCCAAAUCAUGGAAAACAUGAAAUUAAGCUACUUGAAGUUUAAAAGAGUUUCUUGGACUCCAAGGACGAAAGAAACUCUUGGAUGAAAAGUUGACAUACCUUGGUUGCUAAAUUCUUGAAGAAAAAUGGUGAAACCUUGAGCCUUGGCUUUGAAAUUAAAUCAUCUAGGGUUCUUGUGCUUGAGCAAUUUGAGAGAAAGUGAGUAUAUUUUGCUCAAUGAAGGCUGAAUCUCAUGUUUUAGGGCUGAAUAGGGGUGGGAAAAAGACCCUAAUACCCCCAAGGAUGCGAAUUUUUAAUUACUGAAAACCGGACUGUCGAUGCGCAGACCUAUGUGCAGCAUCAUUGGCAUCGAUGUGAUGGCCAAUGCGCCACAUCAGUUCACUGGAAAUUGCCACUGGAAGCUAAGGAAAAAUAUUGAUCGAUGCGACAGCUGCCAUGUCGCACCGAGAUUGCAUCGAUUCACUAUUUUGGAUUCCCAAACGUGGUUCAAACGAGGUCCAAAAAAUACAAAACUCAUCUAGGAACACUUAUUGACAUUCUUGAUCAUGAAUCAACCCAAAGAUUGACAUUUUAAGGCCAUAGAGGCCGCGAAAUAGAGUUGCCAACUUAUGAAGGCCAAAAUAAUACUAAGUCUGAAUAAUUUGCUAGAAUUUUCUAAGUCUGGGACCCCUUAGCAAGCUUAAAAGACUGAGUUGAGCUUAGGAUUUUUCGGGGUCUUACAAUAUCUCCCCCUUGGGAACAUUCAUCCUUGAAUAAGACUGAUUAAACUGAUAAUAAUGAUAGACUAGAUUUGGACACUAGACAUGCACAACUGAAGCAUGAUUUCAUGACUGAAAUUAUUAAUAUACUGAAUUAUCAUACUGAACAUGCAUAUCUGAUGCAUGAGUGUAUAGCUGAAUAUGAUUCACGAAUGCAUGACUAGGAUUACUGAUAAACUGAGUCUAUAUACUGAACAUGCAUAUCUGAUGCAUGAGUACAUGACUGAAAAGAUUCGUGAAUGCAUGACUAAGUAUGCAACGUUAAUUGAUACCAAGUUGGUAUCUAUAUCUGAACAUGAGAUCGAGUAAAUUCAAAGAAAAAUUAUUACCUUGAGUUGAGUCUGAAUUUGCAGAAAAGAGGUGAGGAUACUUGAUCCGCAUGUCUGCCUCUGCUUCCCAAGUAGCUCUCUCAAUGGACUGAUUCCGCCAAAGAACUUUGACUAGAGGGACUUCUUUGUUCCUCAGUCUGCGAAUCUGUUAAUCAAGGAUUUCGAGUGAGAUCUCUUCAUAAGAGAGGUUGUUUUAAAUAUCUAUGCCCUCUAUAGGGACUACGACUACUGGAUCACCUAUGCAUUUAUUUAGCUAGGAGACAUGGAACACCGGAUGCACUGAAGCUAAGUCUGAAGGAAACUCAAGCUUGUAAGCUACCUUUUCGAAACGACUGAGAAUUCGGUUAAGAUUGAUAUUUCGGGGACUGAGUUUCCCCUUCUUGCCAAACCUCUUCAGUCCUUUCAUAGGAGAGAAUUUCAAAUACACCAAAUCAUUAAUCUCAAACUCGAGAUCCUUUCUGCGUACAUCUGUGAAUGAUUUCUAUCGGCUCUGAGCUGUCUUAAGCCUUUCCCUGAUCAACUGAACUUUCUUUAAGGUAUCAAAUACCAAUUCAGGCCCUACCACUGCGGACUCACCCACUUUAAACCAACCGAUGGGAGAUCUACACCUUCUCCCAUAAAGCGUUUCAAACGGAGCCAUCUGAAUGCUGGAAUAAUAGUUGUUGUUAUAUGCGAAUUCAAUUCAAGGCAAUUGGUCAUCCCAACUACCUUUAACGUCUAUCUCACAUGAUCGCAUCAUAUAUUCUAAAUUCUAAAUGGUCCUUUCUUCUUGACCAUUUGUCUGAGGGUGAAAGAUUGUACUGAGAUAACUCGGGUACUAAGACCCUUUUAGAAUGCAUUCUAGAAAUGAGAGGUAAACUGAGAACCUCUAUCUGAGAUAAUGGACAGAAACACCGUGCAAUCUGACCAACUCCCUGAUAUAGAGUUUGGUGUAAUCCUCGACUGAAUAAGAGGUAUGGACUGGUAGGAAAUAAGCUGAUUUGGGCAUCCUAUCUACAAUGACCCAAACUAAAUUAUGCUGACGAUGAGUAGGAGGCAAACCCAUCACAAAGUCCAUGUUCACUUCUUCCCAUUUCCAGGUGGGGAUGCUGAACUCCUAGAUGGACCCACUAGGCUUUUGAUGCUCAAUCUCAACCUGUUGACAUGUUGAGCACCUAGCCACAAAAUCUGUAAUAUCUCUCUUUAUCCCACUCCACCAAUAAAUCUCCCAUAAAUCAUGGUACAUCUUAGUGGUCCCUGGAUGAAUAGGGUAGCGUACACUAUGCGCCUCUGCAAGAAUUCACUACCUUAAGUCAUCUACACCUGGCACACAUAGCCGAAUCUGACAUGUAUGGUGAAUAUGUGAUUAUCUUGAUAAACCCUUGAAUUUAUGAAGUUAUUAAUAUAUCUAUGAUGUUAACUUGGAUUUUAAAUCCAUGACUAUGAUAAGAUUCAGGAAAAUAGAAUAGUAUUCAGGGGGAAUUAUCUGAAUUUCAUGUUAAACCCAUGAAAUUGCAAGUUUGGGCAUUGUAGUUGCCAUGCUUAUAUGUUAACCAUGAUUAUGGGCAUUAAGUUGUGCUCCCUAAGUGUUUGAUAGAAUAUUCAUGUGAAUAAAUUGAUAAAACCAUAAGAUGUUAGUAUAUUUACAAGCUUAUACCCUACAAGUGUUUGAUAAAAUAUCUCUAUAAAUGAAUUAUGAACAAGUGUGAAUUGUUAUGCUUUGCAAGAUCAUGUUAUACUUUAAUUUUCAUGUUAUCGAGUGUUGGGGGUAUUUAAUACCCGACAAUCUAGCUUUGUACCUAGAGUCAGUGUCAGUUAUAGAGUAGUAUCAGUUGUGACACGAUCAAUAGUACUCAGUCAGUUACAGAGCUCAGUGAAACUCAGUAUUAGUCCAAUCCAGUCAGCUAACACGCUCAGUAACAGUUCAGUCAAGCCUAGUACAGUCUAGUAAUCAAUUCAGUGUCUUCAGUUGGGAGUAGGAUUUAGCACCGAGCGAACCUAGGGAUGGGGGAAUUCCUAUUAGUAUAUGGUUUGACCCUUAAUAGAAAUCCCUGAGUUACAAAACUACGUAGCCAGUGUAGGUUGGGAUGACUUCCUGCCAGAUAAGGGUUGAUACAUCUCUCAUGAUGUUUUCUAUCAGUGAGGGUUGACAAAAUAUCUUCCUGCCAGUUAAGGUUAACUCACAGCUAUUGUUAGUACUCGUGGCACUGUACUGACACCCUUCUAAUUGGGGUUACAAAUUGGACCCCAACUUAGUUCUCUUAUCUUAUUUGGGGUAUGUCAGUUAGAUGAUUACGUCCCAUAGUUUCAGUCUCAGUCUUUAGAAUAGAACUCAGUUCAGUUCUAAAGAAUCAAGAUUGUCAGUUACAGUCAAUCAAUAUCAAUAACUCAGUUAUCAAAAAUUUCAGAUUAUCAAUUACUUAGUAUCAAAACUCAGUAUUUAGCUUCAAAAAAGCUCAGUUACAGUAUACAUGCACGUAUAUGCACAGUAUUACAUACUCAGUAGUUACAACAGUAUCAUUUAUCUAUGUACUCUCAUGUUCAGUUUCUCUUUAUCAUUCAGUCAGUUAUUGUUCAUACAUAUGAACCCUUGCAUUCAGUCUUACCUCAUCUAGCAUACCAAUACAUUCCACGUACUAACACAUACUCUUUCUUUGCGCUAUGAUGUCUCAUAUCAUAGGUUCGGACGCUUAGGUUCCUAACCGAGCUUAGACAGACUCAGACAACAGCAAUAAAUUUAGCAGUGGGUCCUCAUUAUUUGAGGAUAUUCUUAUUUUAGUUUUUCUGUAGAUUUAGUAUUUUAGUAGUUGGAGUUAGUUGGGGGCUUGUACCAUCAACUCUACUUUCAGAGUGGGUCCUCAUUAUUCAAGGAUAUUCUAUUAUUUUAGUUUUUCGGUAGAUUCAGUAUUUCAGUAGUUGGACUUAGUUGGGGGCUUGUCCCAUCAACUCCACUUUCAGACAGUUCAGUUAGAGGCUUUUCAGACUAGAGUUCAGAUAGUACUUAGUUUUACAGAUUGUUAUUACAGUUUGACAUUUUCAUCAGUAUUUUAGAUGUUUUGAACCUUAUGGAAUUUUAGCCUAUUAUUUCACAUUCAUUAUAGUAUAUUAUUCAGUGCUCACAGCAGAUAUCAGUCAUGGGUUAGCUUUAGUGGUGUACAUAGGUCGGGUUGGUUUGAUUUUUAUUAAAAUAAAAAAUCAAUCAUGUCGGUUUAUUAAAAUUAUAAAACAAAUCAAACCAACAUAAAAUUAAUUUUUUCUGUUUAGGUUUUAGUCUAAUUUUUUUGGUUUUUUGAUUUUUUGGGUUUUUUUUAUUUUUUUAUAAUCUUUAAUUUUUACAAUUAUAUUGUGAUCGAAGACUAGAUCAAAUAUGUUUUCACUCAUGUGCUAAUGAAAAACCAUAAUUAUGAAAAACUGAGGAGCAUAAAACUCUCUUGAAACUAAAAAGUGAGAUGAAGAGUGAAAAGUUUAGGUUUUAAGUUUAUGUUGGGUUUUCGAUCAUUUAAUUUGCAACUAAUGAAUAAAUAUUACAACUUAAAGGUCCAAAUCUAAAUAUAUAUAUACAUCUACUUUCAAAUUAUUGAAAAUUACUAAAACUAGUUGAAAAAUUAUUUAAAAAGUAGAUUAUAAUUAAUAUUUUGUGUAUAAAAAAGUUUGAAUAUUAUAUAUAUAUAUAUUAUGUCGGUUUGAUUCUGGUUUGGUUUGACUUUUUUUUGGUUAACACCAAACUAAACCAAGAAUGGUCGGCUUUUUUACUAACGCCAACCCAAUCAAACCAAAUCAUAAGUCGGUUUUUUUUCUCGGUUUAAUUUAAUUCGUCGGUUCGGUUUGACUUGAUGAUUUGGUCUGUACAAUCCUAGCUAGUUUGUGGUCCUUUGAGGUCAUAAGCACCAUGUAGUAUCCGAUGUACAGACUCGGAGUGUUACAGGAACUUCUUUGUUCCUUAUUCUGUAAAUCUGACAAUCAAGGAUUUGGAAUAGAACCUCUUCUAAAGAGAGAUCAUUCUGGAUAUCUAUGCCCUCUAAGGAAACUAUGACUCCUAGGUUACCAAUUCAUUUAUUUAGCAAGGAGACAUGGAACACUAGUUGCACUGAAGCUAGAUCUGAAGGCAACUCAAGCUCGUAACUACCUUUUUUAAAUGGCUGAGAAUUUUGUAAGGACCGACAUAUCGGUGGCUGAGCUUCCCCUUCUUGUCGAACCUCUUCACUCCCUUCAUAGGAGAGAUUUUCAAGUACACAAAAGCACAAACCUCAAACUCAAAAUCUUUUCUCCUCAUAUCUGCAUACAAUUUAUGUCGGCUCUGGGCUGCCCUAAGCCUUUCUCUGAUCAACUGAACCUUCUCUAAGGAAUCAAAUCCUAAUUCAGGCCCUACUACUGCAGCCUCACCUACCUCAAACCAACCAAUUAGAGAUCUACAUCUCUUACUAUAAAGAGCCUCAAACGGAGCCAUCUGAAUACUAGAAUAUUAGUUGUUAUUAUAUGUGAAUUCGAUCAAAGACAAGUAGUCAUCCUAACUAUCUUUAAAAUCAAUAACACAGGCUCUUAACAUAUCUUUUAGAGUUUGAUGGUCCUUUCUGAUUGACCAUCUGUCUGAGGGUGAAAAUUUGUACUGAGGUGAACUUGGGUACUAAGACCCUUUUGGAAUACCUUUCAAAAAUGAGAGGUAAACUGGGUACCCCUAUCUGAAAUUAUGGAUACUGAGACUUCGUGUAACUUGACCAUCUCUUUGAUAUAGAGUUUGGCGUAGUCCUCGGCUGAAUAGGAAUUAUGGACUGGCAAGAAAUGAGUGAAUUUGGUCAUCCUAUCUACGAUAACCCUAAUCGAAUUAUGUUGAUGACGAGUACGAGGCAAACCCAUCACAAAGCCCAUGUUCACUUCUUCCUAUUUCCAUGUGGGAAUACUAAACUCCUACAUGGACCCACUAGGCUUCUGGUGCUCAAUCUUAACCUGCAGACACAUAAAGCACUUAGCUACAAACUUUGCGAUAUCUUUAUUCAUCCCACUCCACCAAUAGAUCUUCCACAAAUCGCGGUACGUCUUAAUGGCCCCUAGAUGAAUCGAGUAACGUGCACCAUGCGCGUCUGCAAGAAUUCAUUACCUUAAGUCAUCUAUUCUGGCAUACAUACCUGACCUGGGCAAUGCAACACACCAUCUCCACCUUUGGAGAAAACCUUUACUUUCUGAUCUCUGACUGACUCUUUCAACUUAGCUAAACUGGGAUCUCUAUCCUGCUUUUCCUUUACUUCAAAAACCAGAUAUGAUUCUGAACUAUUCUACACCCACACAUUACCCUCUGCUGAAUCGACUAAGUGGACACCUACUCGGGAAAGCUGAUAAACUUCCUAAACUAACAUCUUCUUACCAUUCUCAACAUGAGUAACACUACCCAUAGACAACCUACUGGGAGCAUCUACCACUACAUUGGCCUUGCCAGGAUAAUACAGAACACUUAUAUCAUAAUCUUUCUACAGCUCUAACUACCUUCUCUGACGCAGAUUCAAAUUUUUCUGAGAGAACACAUACUUCAAGAUUUUAUGAUCUGUGAUCACAUCAACAUGCACCCCAUACAAAUAGUGCCUCCAAAUCUUUAAGGCAAACACUAUUACUGCUAACUCGAGAUCAUGGGUAGGGUAAUUAUUUUCAUGGGGCUUAAGCUGUCUAGAGGCAUAGGCUAUGACCUUACCUCUCUGCAUUAAGACACAACCCAAACCUACUCUGGAUGCAUCACAAUAUACAACAAACCCAUCUGAACCAUCUGGUAACGUCAAAACUAGGGUUGUAGUGAGUUGAGCCUUCAACUCCUGCAAACUCUUCUCACAAGAAUUUAACUACUGAAACUUAACUUUCUUAUGAAUCAAUCUAGACAAGGGGGAUGCAAUAGACGAAAACCCUUCAAAAAACCAACGGUAAUAGCCAGCUAAACCCAAGAAACUCCUGAUAUUUAAUAAAGAAAUAGGUCUAGGCCAGUUUUUCACCGCCUCGGUCUUUUGAUGAUCAACUCUAAUGCCAUCACCAGAAACAACAUAACCAAAGAAUUCUACUGACCUUAGCUAAAAUUCAGACUUACUGAAUUUGGCGAACAACUGAUGGGCUCUGAGAGUCUGAAGUAUGAUUCUGAGGUGGUCUGUGUGAUCAUUCUCGCUACAAGAGUAGACAAGAAUGUCAUCAAUAAAGACUAUAAUGAACAUAUCCAAGUACUACUUAAACACAUAAUUCAUAAAGUCUAUGAAAGCUACUGGGGAAUUUAAGAGACCAAAGUACAUGACUAGAAACUCGAAGUGACCAUACCGGGUUCAGAAAUCUAUUUUUGGAAUGUCAUAUUCUCUGACUCUGAGCUGAUGAUAGCCUGAUCUGAGGUCUAUCUUAGAAAAGUAACCGGCACCCUGAAGUUGGUCAAACAAGUCAUCAAUUCUAGGAAGUGGGUAUUUAUUCUUGACUGUGACUUUUUCAACUGAUGGUAGUCUAUACACAUUCUAAGAGAACCGUCUUUCUUAUGCCCGAAUAAGACUGGUGCACCCCACGGGGAAAUGCUAGGUCUGAUGAAUGCCUUGUCUGUAUGGUGUAAUAGAUAUAGGCUGAGUGUCUGCAAGAAGGUCUAUUUCGAAGUUGAUUUCCCUUUCAGGAGGAACUCCAGGAAGAUCUUUGGGAAACACAUCUAAAAAUUCAUUUACUACUAAAACUGACUCAAGACUAAGAGUCUCUAAACUAGAGUCUUUGACUCAUAUGAGAUGAUAGACACAUCCCUUGGAUAUAAUUUUUCUCGCUCUAAGGUAUGAAAUCAACUGACCCUUAAGCGUUGCGGUACUACCCCUCCAUUCAAGGACUGGCUCAUUUGGAAAUUAAAAAUAAACAAUUUUGUUUCUAUAAUCAACUGAGGCAUAACAUGAUAUAGCCAAUCCAUGUCGAGAAUGACGUUGAAAUCUGUCAUCUCUAAUUCUACAAAAUCUACUGAAGUGACUUUUCGAGAUAUCAAAACCGGACAGUUUCUGUAUACCCGUCGGGCUAUGAUAGACUGACCCAUUGGAGUAGAGACUGAGAAAAGUUUUGUUAAGGUUUCUGGUAUGACUUUAAAGUUGACUGCUAUGUAAGGAGUUACAAAAGACAGAGAAGCUCCUGGAUCUAAUAAGGCAUAAACAUGUAAAUAAAAGAUCUGUAACAUACCAGUAACCACAUUAGGAGAACUUUUUGGAUCUUGUAGGGACUGAAGUGCAUAGAGCCUAUUUGGGUGUUGCCCACUGGUGGCACUGGAAGCGGCACCCUGCUGAUUCGUGCGACUGGACUAAGUCGAAGGACGAUUGUACUGACCCUGGGAACCUGACUAAGGAUAAUCUCUAACUCUGUGGCCUGGCUUACCACACUCGAAACAUACAUCUCUACCAGCUCUAGAAAUACCCUGAUUAUUUCUGCCACAUUUCUAACAAAGAGGAUUUAUUCGGGCACUGCUGACACUACCCUGAGAUUUAGGACCUAGCGCCCUAUCUUUGUUACCAUUUCUAAACUUAGGUACUGAAGCACUGGCUGAGGAUGGAGCUGGAACUUAAGAUUUUAAAUGGAACUAGGAACGUUUAUCGCCCUCUGAUUUAGGUUGAGUGAAAUUGAAACUACCUAUUCUAGCUCUCUUGUUCUUCUCCUCUCUCUCUCUCUCCUUAUUCUUAGCCUCCUUUAUCUGUUGAGCAGGGACCAUGAUCCUGGAUAUGUCUAUCUCAUCUCCUUAAUCAACAUCGCAGUUCUGCACUUCUUAACCACACUCUCUGACACCCCAGACACGAACUUGGUUAUUUUGGACCUAUAGUCUGCUACUACAUGGGGAGCAUACCUGACUAACUGAGUAAACUUGAGGUAAUACUCUUUCACACUCAUGUUGCCUUGUCUGAGAUUGAUGAACUCUAACACCUUGGCUUCUCUCGGCUUUAAGGGAAAGAAUUUAUCUAGAAAAGCAGUAGCAAACUCUUCCCACUCUAUGGGCUCUGCAUCUGUGCCCAUGUCUACCUUCCACUACUUAAACCACGUAUGAGACACAUCCUACAACUGAUAGGCCGCUAACUUAACACUCUCACUAGUAGUUACCCUAUAAUAUUUAUGACUUUCUUCACCUGAUCGAGGAACUCCUGUAGAUUUUUUUCAGACUUAGAUCCUAAAGAUAGGGGAAGAUUCAUUCAGGUGAAGUCCCAAAUACUGGCUGCAGCAGUAUUGUUCAUUGGGUUGGCCUAAACUAUAGCUAGCUGUUCAUUCUGAGCUGCUACAAAAUGGGCUAGAAUGGUGAACACAGCAUGAAACAUGCUCGUCCAGCGGAUCUACCUAAAUGGGCUAAGGUGUUGGUUGGUUUCCUGUUCUUCUUCUGUUGGUCUUUUUGGGAGGUAUAUUCUGUAAAUGGAAGGAAAAAACAAAUUAGAAUAAGAGCUUAACUUGAGCUCAUGCUCAUUCAAAUGACAUGAAUACUGAAAGAAGGGAAAUUUUUCCUAAAAAUGUCUCAUACCCUCUUGUGCAUAAGUGUGGCGCGCUACACACCCAUGGACAAGACUCUACUUGAUACGGCUUUCAAACUCCCUACUAAUUUGUUGAACCUUAGGCUCUGAUACCAAGUUUGUAACACCCCGAAUCUGCACCCCAAACGUCAUACGGUGCUUACGACCCCGAAGGACCACAAGCUAACCCAUGACUGGUACCUGCUGUGAGCACUGAAUAAUAAUACUGAAAUAAUGCAGAAAAUAGGUUGAAAUGACAUAAGGUUAAUAAUCUGAAUAUUGAUAAAUAUAGUACUUAAACAAUAUCUGAAAGCUGAAUACUGUCUGAACUAUAGUCUGAAAAGCCUCUAAUUAAACUGUCUGAAUGUGGAAUUAAUAGGAUAAGCCCCCAACUAACUCCAACUACUAAAAUACUGAAGCUACUGAAAUACUAAAAUAAAAGCAUAUCCUCAAUAAAUGAGGACUCACUAAUGAAUUUGCGGUUGCUAUCUGAAUCUGUCUAAAUAUGGUCAGGAACCUGAGCGUUCAAACUUAUGAUAUAAGAUAUCAUAGCGCAAAGAAAGAGUAUGUGUCAGUACAUGAAAUAUACUAGUAUGCUAGAUGAGGUAAGGCUAAAUGAAAGGGUUUAUAUGCAUAAACAGUAACCGAUGAAUGAUAUGAAGUAACUGAAUAAGAGUACAUGGAUAACUGGAACUACUAUAAAAUACUGAGUAUGCAAUAUGUCGCAUAUAUAUGUAUACUGUAUCUGAUCUUUUACUGAUUCUUAGUACUGAUUUCUUAUACUGAGUAACAGAUAUCUGUGAUUACUGAUAACUGAAUUACUGAUACUGAGUGAUUGUGUCUGACAGUCCUGAUUUUGUAGAACUGAACUGAAUUCUAUACUGAGAUUGAAACUGAAACUAUGAGAAGUAAUCAUCUAACCAACAUACCCCAAAUAAUAUAAUCGGGUCCCAACCUGUAACCCCAGCUGGAAGGGUGUCAGUAUCGUGCCAUGGGUAAAGACAAGCUGAAGAGUUACCCUCAUCUGGCAGGUGCCCCGAAUGAGAACGGUGGUUCAUCAACUGGCAGGUAAAACACCUUAUCAACCCCCAACUGGCAGGUUGAUAGCUCAAGCUACAUUGGCUACGUAUUUCUGAAAUGCAAGGACUACUUCUAAGGAUCACACCCUCUACUGGUAGGUGAGUCCCCAUCCUCGGGUUCACUCGAUGUUGAAUCCUACUCCCAACUGAAGACACUGAUUAUUAUACUGAGUUGAACUAGACUGAUACUGAGUUUUACUGAGUUCUAUAACUGACUGGGUACUACUAAUCGUGACAUUACUGAGACUAUUCUGUAACUAUUGUAGCUCUAGGUAAACAGCUAGAUUUUUGGGUAUUGAAUACUCCCAGGACUCAAUAGCUUUGAAAAUAAAGCAUGGCAUGAUCAUAAGAGCAUAACAAUACUUGUUUGUUAACAGUGCACUCAUUUAGACAUCUUGUCAAACACUUGAUAUACAUGAACUUGUACAUAAAUGGAAUCACAUAAUGACAUGUCAUGAUUUCACUAUCCAAUUCACAUGAGUAUUUUAUCAAACACUUGGGGAGCAUGAUUAUUCACAUAAUAAUAGUAAACAUAGGAACAUCGUGGAUACAAUAAUCAAUUGUAAAUUCAAGGGUUUAACAUUCAAAUCAUAUAAUUUAUCAUACAUACUAUUUUAACUUCAUGAAAUUUAUAAUUAAUCAUGGAUUGAAACCCAAAUAAUAUCAUGAAUACAAUCAAUUUCAAGUACUGAAUUCAUAAAUCUGAGAACAUGUAUGUUUAAAUAGGGUUCUUGGACUCCAUGGGUGAAAGGUAACCCAGGAUGAACACCUAACAUACUUGAGAAGAUUAAUUCUUGAAGGUUCUUGAAAGAUUUCUUGAGAUUUGUUCUUGACUCUUAAAGCUAGGGUUUUGUUAAUUUGAGAGAGAGUGAUUUAAUUAUGAGAGAAAGUGAGUAAAUAAUGACAUAAUAGGUUAUUUAGGGCAUAAAUUUCGUGUUUAGGACUGAUUAGGGGUUUUGUGAAUUGACCAAACGGUCCAUGAAAUAAAAUCACGAAAGCUGAAAAUCCUAAUUUUUCAUUCCGGUGCGACGUGGUACAAUUACGCCAGCUCACUGGAAAAUGGAAAACUGGGAACUGGAAGCUUGGCGUGAUGCGAUAUAAUCGUGCUACCCCAGUGAAUGCAAAUUUGGCACUCGACGCGAUGCUGUCGGUCCACUGGAAAAGGAUGAACGCGAAAUAGCACAUUGGUGCGAUGCGGCCUUAUCGCGUUAGGACGCUGGAAAAUGACAAUUGCCAUUUGGACCCUCACCGCAAUGCGGUGAUGUGCAUUAUGACACACUGCUUCACUAAAACUGUUAUAACUUCUCACCCGGGUAUCGAAUUUGGGCAAAAUUUAUAUCAUUGAAAAGCUGAAUGAAUUUCCUACGCAAUAGCAGGUCUUAAAUUUAAAAAUUCUAAGUAUUUUGAAAAAUUUAUAUAGAUUCGCUCAUGCACUGAGAUUUAAACUGAUCUUGGGAAAUACGGGGUAUUACGAAUGAACUCUCAUAAGAGUCCUAGUAAACCAAAGAUUCAACUGAUUCCAAUCAAGCAGUUUAACUAUGUUAAUGGUGUUUCUAGAGUUGUGUGGACAGAAGAAGAGGUUGAUCGGAUGAAUAUUAUAGAGGAACUUCAAUAUGCUAUCACUAGUUAAUUCUCUUGUGGUUGACCUAAUUUAGAUGAUCUGAGAACUCAUUUGCCUUAACAACUUAAGGUGAAAAGAGUCUAUAAGAUAGGUUAUUAGAGAAGUUGUGAUAUCUUUAUGAGAUUUGAACUUAUUGAAGGCUUUAUGAAUGUGAUGUCAAAGACUGUUUACUAUACAAGUGAUUAAGAGGGCAUUCCUAUCAGAUGAGACCUUUAAUCUAUGACGCUAAAUUUAAGGUGGAUGAAGAAACUACACAAGCUAUUACAUGUAUUUCUUUUUCAGGUUUAAAUCCAACCUUUUUUUAAAGAAAUUAUGUUUUGCAUUAGCUUCGUUUGUUGGUAAGCCUAUUCAUCUGAAUAUGGCUAUAAUGAACAAAACUAGACCUAUGUGGAGAUAGAGAGUGUCAACUCCAACACUAAGGAGUCAUAGAAAAGGUCAAGAUCAAGUAUGACUUCCUUUUUAAGUACUACAAAGAAUGCAAGCUUCAAGAUCAUGAUGAAAUGGAGUGUAGAGUGUUACAUCUGGAAUUGAAUCCAUCUCAAGAAUAAGAAGAGACCAAUAAUAAUCACUAUCAAAAGGAAAAACUCAAAGUCACUAAAUCCAAAGCUAAUGAAGGAUGGUAGAUUAGGUUGAAUUUUAAGUGAAAUUCUACCAGAAAAAGAUUCAUUAAUAAGGGAUACCUUAGUGAAAAAGCGUCAAGUCCAGAUAAAGAGAUAUGUGACAAUAACUCUUUCAAUUCUUUGACAAAAGAUAGGGGAGUACACAUAAAAAAUACAAAAUGCAAAAAAUUCAAAGUGACAAGGUAGAGCAGAAAUCCAUAAAAGACCGAGUCUCCAAGUCUUUUCUAGUGAAAGCAGUAGUGACAGCGACCUCAGUUAAUAAAGCCCCUAUAAAAGAUAUGAGAGUAAGUGAUAAGAAGAAGCAAUAACAAUUAGAGGUAAUUAAUGAGCCUGACACCUUCAAAAAUUCAGCCAACGGUGAAGCUAGGAAAGAUGAGAUUAAGGAGUCUGAUGACACCUUAAAAUAAGCAGAUUACUCUAAAGGUGAAGAUAGGGAAGAGUGGAAAGUUGUACUAGCAAAGGAAAAGGUUUAGAAAAAGUUCUCUCAUUGCAGACUCAAUCUGCAAGAUAGUGAAAUAGAGUUAAUUGACAAAUUUCAACAUCCUAAUAUUUCAAAUAAUUUAAUGAAGUCAAGCCAUAUACCUAAAGUGGUGGGUGCUAAUAAAGGAUUGGAGGAAGCAAGUCUAACAGAAGUGCAGAAAAUAAAAUCAGGGUAUCAUAGCAAUAAAUGCAUUAAAAAAGUGGGGAGAUGAAGUGUAGAUUCCUCAACUACAACUACAAAACCAAUAAAGUCAGUAGGUCAUUAAGGGACAUAUAUGGAGUAAUGAAAAUAAUAUGGUCCCAACUAGUGAUAACAAGCUGACUAUAAUUAACCCUUUAGAUGUUGAUGAAUCAUUUGCUCGGAGUGUUGGAUCUCCUAAUAUUAUUCUUUAUAAUAUUAUCACUCAUAAUAUUGAAGAGGUGAAUGAAGUUGAGCUGCUAGAGAAUAACCCUGAUAAGAAAUGUAAAGAAGAUGACAUCCUUAGACAGGGGGAUCUAUCCCCAAGGGCUAUUAAAGCUAUUAAAUCAGGAAAGAAGGGAAAUAAAUAGGGCAAUGAUGAGGUUUCACUACCUAUCAGGGUUCAACCAAAGAGAGGUGGAGUGUUUCAAAAGAAAAACAUUAAUGAAGGCUACAAUUUGAAAUAUCAGAUCUGUGAAGUCACAAAACGUUUUUUAAAGGAUUCAGAUAGUACACAAGUUUCAUAAAUUUACAUUUAUUGCAUUAUUAGAGCCUUUUCAGCAUAGAAGAACAAUCAACAGAUACAAAAACAGAAUACAACUGCCUCUACAUUUCAUAAUUAUUUAAGAAAAAUUUGGUCCUUUGUCAAUCAUGAUUUUACAAUCAAUAUAAUUAGUAAUACAGAACAAUAAAUUUCAUGUCAAUUGUGUGAAUUUCUAGUGCUGUGUGCUUUAUGGUGACAAUUAUCUAUGCAAAAUGUGAUAGAAAUCAAAGGAAGGAGCUUUGGGAUGACAUUUAUUCUAUCUACAAUAGCCAACCUGGUCCUUGGAUUAUAGGGUUGAUUUCAAUGUUGCUCUUAGUGGAGUUGAGAAUAUUGGUAGAGUUUCAGUUACUAUUAUUGACGUAGAUGAUUUUCAAAUAUAGAGUCUUGUGAUAUUUUUCAAGUGCAGUAUAAGGGAAACCUCUUUACUUAGUAGAAUGGGGGAGGAGGAACUGAUUGUAUAUUUGAGAGGCUUAAUAGAGUGUUGAUUAAUUUUGAAUUUCAGAACAUCUUUUCACAUGCUAAGAUUGAACGCUUAUCAAGAUAUGGAUCAGAUCAUGCUCCUUUACUUCUUAAAUAUGAAAAUAGAUCUAUCAAAGUCCGAAGAUCUUUUAAAUUUUUGAAUUUUUGGACAGAUCAUGCAAAAUUCAAAAAAGUUGUCAGAAAGAAAAUGGAAUACUAGUAAACUCCAAGUUUAUCAUGAUGUGUGCUUUUUGGUUUAGUAAAUUUCAGAUUUACUAUGACAUGAAUAGAUUUCAAAUUUACUACUUCGGAAGUAGAUUUAAAAAUAACUCUUCUCAAUUAUUCUAUCUCUUUCGAAGAUGAUUGUGAUAUUAUCACAAUCAAAUGCACGUUUGUAUUGAUAAGCUUUUCUAAAUAUUAUCGCAUUCAUCCCAAGAAAUGGAUUUAUACUUAUACAAUCAAAAUUUUCAUCCCUGAGAAUAGAGUAUAAUUGUGCCUUAAACCUAUCAAAUUUUGAUAGCUUAUAACCUAUUUCAUGAUAUUGCUACUUCACGAGUAAAUUCUAACAUAUCUUAUAAUCGUAAUAAGCGGGUGGAAAUAUUAUUACUUUUAAUGAUUAUUAUCAAGUUGUCCUUCCAUGUGAAUAUUUGUACAUUCAAUCACUUGUCUUCUUUUAUACAUAUUAUACACUGCUACCACAUUCACUUCAGAGAAUGAAGCAUAUUCAAUGGACAUGUCUCAUGAUUUUCAAUCAAAUACACAUUAUUUUGUCCUAACCAUCAUUAUAUCAUCAAUAUGGUGCAUUGAGAUUCAAAUCGAUGGGGCUUAUCCAUAUAAAGACAUCUUAAACUAUAAAUCGAUGGGAAUUGAACCCAAUAUCUUAUCAUCACGGUGAUCAAAACUCUAACCCGAUGUCUUAUCCUUUAUGUGGUGGGACUUGAAUCCCCCAUCUCACUCUCUAACAUAUAGAUUAGAGUAUACCAAGUUUCAAAUCAAAAGGAGUAAAAAUAUUAACAAAAACUUCUGUACGUAUAAAACCACAGUUUCUCAUAAAACACAAAACUCAUUAAAACUUAUCAUGACUAAUAUAUGCCACGACCAAAGGUAACACUCAUAAUAUUCCCGGGUAUCAAUAAUAGUUAAUACCACUUUGAAAACCAUCUGAAAAAUUAAAGUACCGAGAAAUAACUAAUCUUGAUUUAACUUUUAGAGACCUUCUCAUCCAAGUUUCUUUCCUUGGCAGAUGAUGGGUUGAAUUUUGUGAAGAAGAAAAUUAAUUUAAUUUAAUUUAAUUAAUUAAAGUCAUAUUGAUAACGUGUUAUGAAAUAUAAAGCAGAGAAGAAGAAGAAGAAGAUGGGUUUCUAACUUUUCCAUAAAUAGACAUUCACUAUAAAACACAUUUAUAACAUUUUCUUUAUUUUGUUCUUUUUCCUCAACUUUUAUUAUGUUUUUUUUUCUUUUUUACUUCGAUUUCUUGCAAACAACAAAUUACGCUCCAUAGGCAAAAGUUGACACUGCCACACAUUAUGUCUUGAUUUGUGAUAUGUUCAAUAAAUUUUGACUUAGAGACAAAACUUAGGUCAAGGACUUUCAAACAAUUACGUCCCAUGAGCAAUAAUUGAUACUAUCACAUUGUGUUUUUUAUUUAUAAGAUGUUCUAUAACUCUAAGCAAUAUUUGAUACUAUCACAUUGUCUUUUUAUUUAUGAGAUAUUCUAUAACUCAUACCUUAGAUGCAAGACUUAGCCAAUGAUUUUCAAACAAGAAGUUAUGCCCUAUGGGCAAGAGUUGACACUACCACAUUGUGUUGAUUUAUGAGAUACUCUAUAACUCUUGCCUCAAAGGCAAGACUUAGCCCAAGGACUUUCAAAUAUCAAGCUACACACUGUCAUACCCCUUUUUUACUUAAGAUCAAAACGAGGACCACAUUAUGGACUCUAAAAAGAAUUAAUUUAUACAAAGUCGCCACCUAAUUUUUAAGGAAAGAUAGGAAACCUUAUUUUAUCCCUUUUCGAUUUUAUUUUAAAGAAAAUGGUUUUGACUUUUCAAAAAAAUCAAGAAAAAUUUGAAAUAAUUAUUUUAAAAAUUUACAGAGUUGCCACUUGAUUUUUAUCAAAAAUAUCAAGAAAAACUUAAAGAGAUUUUCAAAGAUUCAAAAACAGAAAUAAAUCUUUAAAAAUUAGAGAAACUGAGUAAGAAUUUAAUUAACACCCUAGUUUUUACGACACUUAAGAACGUCUAUUUUAAAAUAGUUCACCAAAAGAUUAUUUUCUGACUAACUUAAAAGAGUGACUAACGUUGCAAAAGGUUGAUUUUUAAUGAAAAUACCGAGCUUGAUUGAACAAUUUUGAAACAAUAAAUUUAGUUUAUUAGAGUCCAAAUACUCCAUUUUUAGCUAAAAGGAACUGGCUUUUGAAGCAAAGUUUGGGCAAAAAAUUUGUUUUUAGUGAUAUAAUUUCUUUUAAGGGAAGGGAUCAUAAACAGAAAUAAAUCUUUAAAAAUUAGAGAAACUGAGUAAGAAUUUAAUUAACGCCCUAGUUUUUACGACACUUAAGAACGUCUAUUUUAAAAUAGUUCACCAAAAGAUUAUUUUCUGACUAACUUAAAAGAGUGACUAACGUUGCAAAAGGUUGAUUUUUAAUGAAAAUACCGAGCUUGAUUGAACAAUUUUGAAACAAUAAAUUUAGUUCAUUAGAGUCCAAAUACUCCAUUUUUAGCUAAAAGGAACUGGCUUUUGAAGCAAAGUUUGGGCAAAAAAUUUGUUUUUAGUGAUAUAAUUUCUUUUAAGGGAAGGGGUCAUUUUCAAAGGAAAAAAACUAUUUAAUUAAAAUCUUGACUUUAAUAAAAAUAGAUUGUGAGGAGAAAUUCUAAACAAAAAUAAAUAAGGAACAUUCAAUCGAUCAUGGGAACUAACUAUCUAUCUAUCUAUCAAAUAAGUGGCGAGAAGAUAAUGAAGACAAAUAAAAAUAGCAACAUAUAAGGGAUUUAUCUAGGUUAAUCAAUUAAAGUGUACAAAUAAAUAUAAAUAAACAAGUUAAAAUAGAAACUAAAGAGAAAAAGAGUUAAGAUUGGGCCCUUUUCAAAUCUGGUCAACUUUUGGGCCUAUUUUUCUUGGGACUUUUGGCCCAUUUCUGCAGUGUAUACCCAGCUGUAUACUUACUGUAUAUCAGUUUGCUGCUGCUGCAUUUUGUGUAUAUACGGCGUAUAUAUGAACGUAUUUGAGCCACAUACACACAGCUUUAAUCCUCAACCUGUAUACGUAGCUUUCCUUUCAUUUUCCCUCCUUUAAAAACCUGUUUGCUUGUGUAUAUCCGAUGUAUACAGCUUUGUGUGAGUACACUUUCUUCAUGUGUUAGUCCAUUUUGGACUUGGUACGAGUCUUGACUCAAUGCGAGUUGGGUUUAACCCAACGGAAUGAGAGGGAAGAGAGAUCAAGGGACUCGACGGAGGAGUUCACGCAUAUAAAAAGGGAUAAAGAUUAGUAUCAAGAACUAGAUCAAGUAUUAAAGCACCACAUUCAUAACUCCAACGAAACAUUCCAUAAUCACAAACUCAUUCUUCAUGAAAUCGGGGGAUUCAAUUGACACACAAUAGCAUGGACACAGAUUAACAUUUACACCAAGAAUCUCAAAAAAGAGUUAAAUAAAGGGUAAUGAUCGAUAUAUCUACCGACACAUACUAUACCCACUUCAUAGGCAACCUAAUGAUAUUUUUUAUUUUUUAUUUUAUUUUUUUUAGAUUUGAAACCCAGCAAGAUCAUUCAUAGCAGGCACAUGAAUUUCAAGUGUACAAACAAUACUAUUUUGAAAGUAGACACACGCAAAAAGAAGAGAAAGUUGCAUAGGACCCCAUCUUGCAAAAUUCAAAAUUUCACCAUUUUUGAAACAGAAGUUAUACUUUCCAUGACUUUGCAAGUACUGGAAAACGCAUAUUUUUAAAAAAAAAUAAGAAACACUAAAAUAACCAUACACCACCCCCUUUGACUGGUUGCAUACCCACAAUACAAACAUCUUCACAUCAUUGACUGGUUGCAUACCCACAACACAAACAUCUUCACAUCAUUGACUCAGAAAAGGUAAAUCUAUCCUUUUUUACCAAGAUUUCUGGUUAAUCAUACCCCUAAGUCCAUUAAAAAGUUAACUCUUUUAUUGAUUAGUCCACUUAUGACAUGGGGUUUUCUGAUUCUUGUAAGUACAACAAUACUAUAACACAGACGAAUUUCAACUAGCCAUCAAUCACGAAAUAACAAGUAGCAGAUAAUCAAGAAAAGCUUUAAAAUCAGCAAUAGAGCCAACAAAAACUCAACUGACGUAUUUCAACAAGAUAAAGGUUUUACCUUUUUAGGUGCAGGAACUGGGACGAUGAAUCGAUCAAAGACCUACCACCACUGAAAUUUCGUCAACCCGUCACAACUGAAUUUUUUGAACAUUCUCCUUGAGAAUUUUGGUUACGUGAGGUUAAAGGCGAGCACCUUCAGAACCCCCAAUUUUUUUUUUCCUAAAAUCCUCCCUCAAUAUCUAUUUAUAGGAGAAGAUACUGAUUUUUCAUCUUUAAAAGUAGAGAAACAUAUCCCUAAAAUUCGGAUUUGAAUUGACAUCUUCUGAUUUGGAUUGAAUUUUGGGUUUGAAAACAGAUAAUCUUGAGCAAAAGGUCAACAACGAUGGCUCUAGGUGUGCAAAAUUGCAGAGACAAGAUGGAGAGAAAGGUUUUUCGUGAUUUAGGGAGUUUGUCUUUGGUAUUAGCAGUUGUACGUGUUGACUGAAGCUGGACGGGUUCGAGUCGCGACUGAUGGGCGCUGUUCGGCUGGCUGAAAUAGGGUUGAAGCCGGGUCGAUUUUGGGUACAGGUUUGGUUGAAGUUUCGUUGUUGCUGGUAUCGUGUUUUGUUGUUUCAGUUAUUGUUGAUAUCGUUGGAUGUUUGGUUGUCGGUGAUUGCUAUGCUGUUGUCUUUUGAUAUUUUUGGAAACUGUUUGGGAAUUGGAUUUUGCCAUUUUAAUUGUUGAUGGAGUGAACAGGUGGGCCGGGUCAGCUGAAAUGGAGUGGGCUGGGGGCGGUUUAGGGAGCAAUUGGGGCCUGAUUUUGGUGUUGUUGUUGUUGGGCUAGUCUUGUGGCCCAAAUUUAAAAAUCAAAAAGGGGUAGAAACUUGGUCAUUUAUAAAAUGGCCAAAUUAGGCUAGAAUUUGAGUCAACUUUAUUUAAAUAUUAAUCAAAUUGGAUAUCAAUUGACUAAUUGCAUUGCAAUUGUGGUCAAUUUUAUUUCAAUUAUGAUCAAUUUUAAUAAAUUGACUAAGCUAAAUCAAGACUUGAAACAAAUUAACGACCGAUUCAAUCUCGAGUUUCUUAGUUUUAAAAGAUCAAACACAUAUUUCUCCAAAUAGAUUAUUUUUGAGAAAAAAUUAUAAUUGAAUCAAGAUCGCAACUUUUUGAAUUAAUUUUUCAAGUAUAAGUCAUGAUUAAAAUCUGAUAUUUCAUAAAAUAAAUAUUUUAACUAACAAAAUUAUAUGAUUUCGUAUAAUUGCCAAGAUAUGAAUCAUAAAAUCCUUUUGCAUUGUCAUAAAAAUUUCAUCAUCGCUCGAAUUUAUUUAUUUAUUACGUAUUUUAUUUACAUAACAUCCGUCUUUUUAUUUGUAAAGGCCUCAAAAAUCGACGGAGGAUUUCUUCAUCGGCCAGUAAUGUAGUAUUUUUUUAAAAAAAAUAUAAUGUCCAUUCAAGAUAAAUUAAAAUUUUCAAAAAGGAUUCAAAACAUUAAAGAAGAUUUCUAAUAUGUUAACUUCAAAUAGUGAAGACAAAAACAGUCAACAAAUAACAAUAGAAGUAUUAAAAUAAUACAAAGGCUAUGAUAACAUUAAUAUAAAAGUCAAAAUAAUUAAUGACCAAACGUGUAUAUUUAACUCAUGAAAGUAGUUAUUAUUUUAAGCCAAAUAAAAUAUAUAAUCAGUAGUCAUAUAAUGGGAAAAUAUCAACAGGCAACAAUAACGAAUAAUAAAUUAAACAUUAAGCUAAAUUAUGAUGGGUCAUCGGAGUAAAUUUCAAGCAAAAUCAUGAAAUAAAUUAAAAUAAUACAAAAGAUUGGCAAUAAAACACUGAUGAAAUAUAUUCUAAUCAGAACAAACACACACAAAUGAUAAUGAAACAAAGAGGAGGAAAGUUUCACCGAAGAUGAAGUGUUCCGGCUAGAUCCGAUAGUGCUAACAACGUGACAGAGGUGAGGAGGAGCGGGGGGCGGGGGGGGGGGGGGCAGGAAGAGAGGGAAGAAAGAGACGGGGGUCGCCGUGGUUGUGGCUGAAAACGCCGUCCGACCAGUAGUCAUCGCCGGCGAUGGAAUAUAGGUGAGGGAGAGAGAAGGGGAUUAAGAGGUAGAAAAUUGAGAGAGAGCGAGAGAGUGAAAGGAUCUGAUUUUAGUGUGUAUACGUUAGUGUGUGGAGUGUAUGUUUUGUAUUUAGAAA